GCGCCUGUAGCUCAGUUGGAUAGAGUGUUGGUUUCCGAAGCCAAAGGCCGUGGGUUCGAAUCCCGCCAGGCGCG
rfam:Methylophaga thiooxydans DMS010 genomic scaffold scf_1104571000276, whole genome shotgun sequence.